CAGUACAUGGACAACUCAUCCUGGUAACAUGUCCUGUAGACACCCAGAGGUCAGAACUGCAGUUGGUCAGUUGUCCAUAGAAUUGGGUCCCAAUUGAUGGUAGCAUUUGGGGGCAGCCUAAAGAAUGUGGAAACAGGUGAUGGAGAAUGAAGGGAGCUGAAAUCGUCAUGGAAGCCUUUGUGGGCUUUCAUGUGACAUACACAAAGCUUUGAAGUACGAAUAUGAACGUCUCUGGCGAAGUAGAGGUAAGGCCAUUCCAAGCAAAAGGAUGAGCCAAAAAUCCCAUGACCAUAAAGCAAAGAAUGUAGAGCCAUAAAAUGUGAAAUUGUUCCACAGGUGUGGAGGAGGCGGAGGAUGGGAAACGAGAUGGUUACUGCCUAUCUCAAACAUUUACCAAUCGUUGUAUGAUAGAGGUGAACAAAGGAACGAGAAAGAGAUUUGUGGCCCAGGAAGACAGACAGGAUAAAGUGGGAGUUGGAAGAGCAGACUUACUGGCUGAGCAUCAGACAAAACAAGAGGGACAUUGAGGUUAAAAAAAAAAAGCUUCACAAAUCCUGAGGAAAUCCAGAAGCAACAGCUCCCCCUAGUUCCUGGAGAAGAAGGACAACUCCUUCGAUAACUCAGAGGAUGGAGGCUUUGCCUUUGGGGACCUGCCCAGAAAGCUGCACAGCAGACAUGCUUCCUGUUGCAGAGACCCAGCCUCCUGUUUGUGGUUGAGAGUGGUCACGUGAUUCUCUCUAGCCAAUGGGUUAUGAGACCAGCUCACCUGGGUCAAUGCCAGGCUGAGGUGUUUAAUAGUUGGGACCCCAGAUCUACUCAGCCAGCAGGAGGCUAACCUUAACACCUGGGACUCUCCAGUGCCCAGAGCCAGGGCCUCAAGAAUUUUACCCACGAAAGUCUUAUCUGGGAUCUACAUGUAAUCCAGCCUGACAGGACGGUACCAGGUCCCAGCAUCUCCCCAUGAACUGAUCCCACCUGCGGGUGGCCAGGGACAGACCUUGCAGGUCAGGCAGGAGUGGGUCUACUGUUUCUGCUUCCCAGGCAGACGUGUGUGGAGCAAGACUGUUUAUAGACAACGCCUUGCUGUAGCCAGAGGUGGUGGCUUAGCAGCAGCAGGAACGCCCUCCCUCAUUGCUUCACAAGCUGUAAGUUUCUAAGAUGCGCCCUUGGCCUCAGCGGGCAGAUAAGCACCUGCACUGGAGAGGGAACCCUUGAUCAAGGGCUGAUAAGCUCAGGAAAGGAGAAAAAAAAACCACCCCAAUAACAAGAAAAAGCCGAGGCUCAGUUUCAGCGAACAAUGCGCUGGGGUCGACUGCACAGCUCAGCUUUGGUGAACACUGUUCUGGGAUUGACUGCACAGCUCGACUCCUGUGAACAGUGCUCUGGGGUCAAUUGCACAGUUCAGCUUUGGUAAAGCCUGCUUUGGGAUCGACUGCACAGCUCAGUUUCGGCAAACAAUGCUCUGGGGUCAACUGCACAGCUCAGCGUUGGUGAACAGUGCCCUGGGGUUGACUGCACAGCUCAGCUUUGGUGAACAGUGCUCCUGUGGACCCUAAAUAUCCUGAUUCUUAUCAAGGAUGUGUAGCCGUGUGACUUGGACAGGGCUCCAUACCUCAACUCUCGCUCUCUCUCUGCUCCUUUCAAAUAAACAGCGUGGAAUGCUGGGCUCAGGAUGAUAGGAUGGGACAGGCUUAUUAUGUCAACUUAAAGAAGGUUCGAGGGUUGAGGCCACAGCUGUCUGGUUUCUCCAGGACUCACCCCAAGACAAACACAAGAGUGGGCUUUCAUUUUUCCCUUCUUGUGUCGAAUCAGAAGCGGGCUACCACAUCAUCACCCCAACUCUGAGAAACGAGUUUCACAGAGACAACUCUUCCUGCAGGCCUUCCUUCCCAAGAAGGGGGAAGCACAGAGGAGAGAGUGGAAAAAAAAAGGCAGGAAGGGGGCUCGGCAGCCAGCAGCCCUGGCGCUCGACACUGGAGGCUUAACAUCAAAUGCAGGGAGAAAUCCAUUUCCACGGCGCUAUUGGCCAUCUCGGACGCCUCGUUUCAAAGAGAAAGAUUUGAAUUCAGAGACGGUGCACUCCCUUUGUUCUCUUGCCCUGCAGCCUUUGGUGCCAGUGUGGACGGUACCACAGGGACAGGGUGAGAUCAAACCCCCUCUCCUUCCGUUACCUGCCCCCAGAGCUGGCCCUUGGCAUGCCUAAUGAAAUCAGCUUGACUAUAGGUUGACAAUGCCCUGUCAAUUAUAAUCAUUUAUCUUGGCAAGCAGAGUAUCUGAACACUUGAAAGAGCAGGGGUUCAGCAGACCCAGCAAAACCAGAAUAAAAUUAUACUGCAUGCUA
rnacentral:lncRNA from 1 species